GACGAACGCUGGCGGCGUGCCUAAUACAUGCAAGUAGAACGCACAGUUUAUACCGUAGCUUGCUACACCAUAGACUGUGAGUUGCGAACGGGUGAGUAACGCGUAGGUAACCUGCCUGGUAGCGGGGGAUAACUAUUGGAAACGAUAGCUAAUACCGCAUAAUAUUAAUUAUUGCAUGAUAAUUGAUUGAAAGAUGCAACUGCAUCACUACCAUAUGGACCUGCGUUGUAUUAGCUAGUAGGUGAGGUAACGGCUCACCUAGGCGACGAUACAUAGCCGACCUGAUAGGGUGAUCGGCACACCUGGGACUGAGACACGGCCCAGACUCCUACGGGAGGCAGCAGUAGGGAAUCUUCGGCAAUGGACGAAAGUCUGACCGAGCAAGGCCGCGUGAGUGAAGAAGGUUUUCGGAUCGUAAAGCUCUGUUGUAAGAGAAGAACGGGUGCGAGAGUGGAAAGUUCACACUGUGACGGUAUCUUACCAGAAAGGGACGGCUAACUACGUG
rnacentral:rRNA from 1 species